rnacentral:RNase_P_RNA from 1 species
AAAGCAGGCCAGGCAGUCGCGGCUUUGGCGGUUCCGGCAGGAUUGGAACCGCCGGAGGCGAGGAAAGUCCGGACUCCACAGGGCAGGGUGAUGGCUAACGGCCAUCCGUGGCAACACGCGGAACAGGGCAACAGAGAACAGACCGCCGAUGGCCCGGCUUCGGCCGGGAUCAGGUAAGGGUGAAACGGUGCGGUAAGAGCGCACCGCGGCUACGGCGACGUAGACGGCACGGCAACCUCCACCCGGAGCAAUUCCAAGUAGGCAGGCGCGCAUCUUCGCGAUGCAGGACGGUGCCCCCGUCUCGUCUGCGGGUAGGAAGCUUGAGCGCGUCAGCAAUGGCGCGCCUAGAGGAAUGGCUGCCACGCACUCGACGCCGAAAGGCGGCGGGUGUGCACAGAAUCCGGCUUAUCGGCCUGCUUUGCCG